CACUCAGCCCGCGGCUCCCCGCCUCCCGGCACCACGGCUUCCCUCCUGGAGCCCGGCGACGCGGGCUUCCCCAGCGCCGCCGCCGCCGCCGCCGUCUCGCCCACCGGCCGAGCCUCGCCGCGCCCGCGGCCCGCGGCCGCCAUGCAGUUUAUGUUACUUUUUAGUCGUCAGGGGAAGCUUCGCCUACAGAAAUGGUAUGUCCCACUGUCGGACAAAGAGAAGAAGAAGAUUACAAGAGAACUUGUUCAGACCGUCUUAGCCCGGAAGCCUAAAAUGUGCAGCUUUCUUGAAUGGCGUGAUCUGAAGAUUGUUUACAAAAGAUAUGCUAGUCUGUAUUUCUGCUGUGCGAUUGAGGAUCAGGACAAUGAACUGAUCACCCUGGAAAUCAUUCACCGUUACGUGGAAUUGCUCGACAAGUAUUUUGGCAGCGUGUGUGAGCUUGACAUCAUCUUUAAUUUCGAGAAGGCUUAUUUUAUUUUGGAUGAGUUUCUUUUGGGAGGCGAAGUUCAGGAAACAUCCAAGAAAAAUGUGCUCAAGGCCAUCGAGCAAGCCGACUUGCUGCAGGAGAGCCAGAAUGAAGAAUGGGGAGGUUUGUCUGAGGAUAUCUUAUGAUAAAGCACAAUCUCAGGCUUUAGGUCGUUUGACCCCCAACUUAUUUAUUGGUAACUAAGGAAGCUGAAACUCCACGUAGUGUCCUUGAAGAGAUCGGACUGACAUAAGUCUUCCCCCCCGUUGAGGACUUCCUGUGGCAUUUCACACACUGUAGAUGGUCACUGCCUCCAUGUCCAUGUUAGCUAACGGUGUAAGAUGGCGUCUUGUCAGUAUUACUGUUUUUGCUAAGCUGCUUCAUUCAGGCCUACACAAUUAUUUUAAAGGAACUUUGAUUACUGAAAUGAGAACUUGAAGGGACUUGAUACAAAUUAGAAUCAUACUGAAAAAUUACCUUUUCUGGAUCUUUUCAAGUUUAGAGGCCAGCUUCCCUUAAUCUGAUUAUGUGUGAAAGUGACACAAUUGGGAAUUAUACAUUUAUUAACCACUGUCUUUUGGCAAAGGACACACAGUUAAAAUUAUAAAGUGAAAUCUGGUUUUGUGAAACCAAAGGCUAGCAUGCUAGUGUAGUUUCAAUAUAUAUGUAGAUGAAAGAAAUUAGAAUAUCACAUAUAAAAUGCAAUUUUAACUCUUGAAACAACAAAACCCUCCAAAUUCAUACCAGAGACUCUUAUUGGAAGCUACAUACCUUCAAAGGGAAUUCACAAAUGACAAAAUGGGAAUGCUGCUCUUUAAGCCCCAAAGAUUUCUUAGGCGUUCAGAACUAGGGACAAGAACUAGAGAUCAAAUGGUUCAUAAUAAAGCACCUGUUUUAGUUAAUGUCAAGGAAUACUUGGGUCUUGAGAUAAAUGUGAAAUGAUCUUGUGGCAAAGUAUUAUUCUCUUCACCAAGCGUUAUGUCCUUGUUUAAAGCACGAGUCUUUCUUCUGGGGUGCUAGUUACCGCCAAAUUCAUUUUGCUGCCUUGCUGCUUCCCUUCACUUAGAAGUGCUGCCCACUUUAAGGCAUCUUCUUUCCUUCCAUGACACUGCCCAGUUAUCAAAAGUCUUAAUAAGUAUUAAAAGAGAAAAAUGCCUUUCAUUUAUGGGAAUGACGGAAUGAGGUAAAAUGACAUUAGUGGGCCCAGUAUUUUCAAAGCUAUCAAAUCGUUUCCAUGUCACUUUCAUAGAUCUUAAAUCUCUUGUAAACAUGUUUUCAUCAUUUCCAUUUCCAUUUGUAUUUGCUGGGCUGAAUUUAGCUUCAUUGUGAUUAUGACCAGCAUUUGGACCAUGUGAACAUGGUCUUAUCACAUCGCCAUUUGGUUGUUAUAAAUGUCCAACACAUACCACUGUAGUGUUUCUUCCUCCAAAAAUUUGUACGAGUGUGGGGAGCUGCUGAAAGAAGAACUUUUGAAUUCGUGUUCAGUAAAAUGUUGAAAAUUCACCUCCAUUUGAAUGUGGUUGUUAAAAGCACAUACAAGAUAAAUGGCGCAAGAUUUAAGGGAUAUUCAUGUACUCCCAGCUCAUUAAAAAUGUGGAUUCCAUGCUACUGAGAGCUUUAUCUACACAUUUAUUUUCAAUCAAUAAAUGCCGCUUUUAAAACUGA